GGAGACAUAGCUCAAUGGUUAGAGCAUCUGCUUUGCAUGCAGAAGAGCCCAGGUUUAAUCUCAGUUUCCAUCUCCA